rnacentral:rRNA from 1 species
CACGGGGGGAGCAAGCGUUGUCCGGAAUCAUUGGGCGUAAAGCGCGCGUAGGUGGCUUCAUAAGUCCGUUGUGAAAGUCAAAGGCUCAACCUUUGAAAGCCGAUGGAUACUGUGAAGCUAGAGUACGGAAGAGGCGAGUGGAAUUCCUGGUGUAGCGGUGGAAUGCGCAGAUAUCAGGAGGAACACCAAUAGCGAAGGCAGCUCGCUGGGACGUUACUGACACUGAGGCGCGAAAGCGUGGGGAGCGAACAGG